CCAGAGAGCCGGAUGGCCGCCUGUUUUUAACGGGAGGAAAGUCCGGGCUCCACGAAAACACGGUGCCGGAUAACGUCCGGCGCGGGUAACCGCAGGGACAGUGCCACAGAAAAUAUACCGCCUCUUUAUGGGGUAAGGGUGAAAUGGUGCGGUAAGAGCGCACCGCAGGCCCGGUAACGGGGCUGGCAGGGUAAACCCCACCGGGAGCAAGGCCAAAUAGGGAAGGCGCAUAAGCUGUUUUCGGCUUGUCUUCCGGGUCGGCUGCUAGAGGCAGCGGGUAACCGCCGCCCCAGAGGAAUGGUCAUCACGCCCUUAAAAGCGUACAGAACCCGGCUUACAGGCUCUCUGGCAUU
rnacentral:RNase_P_RNA from 1 species